CAACGAAUAUUCCGCAAUGGACGAAAGUCUGACGGAGCGACGCCGCGUGCAGGAUGAAGUCCUUCGGGAUGUAAACUGCUGUCAGGGGUGAGGAAUAAGUUGACCAACCCCAGAGGAAGCAUCGGCUAACUCCGUGCCAGCAGCCGCGGUAAUACGGAGGAUGCAAGCGUUGUUCGGAAUUACUGGGCGUAAAGCGCACGCAGGCGGUCCUUUAAGUCCACUGUUAAAUCCCGGGGCUCAACCCCGGAGAUGCAGUGGAUACUGAGGGACUGGAGACCGGUAGAGGCUAGCGGAAUUCCUGGUGUAGCGGUGAAAUGCGUAGAUAUCAGGAGGAACACCGGUGGCGAAGGCGGCUAUCUGGACAGAGUCUGACGCUGAGGCGCGAAAGCUAGGGGAGCAAACAGGAUUAGAUACCCGAGUAGUCCCUGAGCGGGCUGGCAAGGCGCAU
rnacentral:rRNA from 1 species